GCCUGGGGGGCUCUGUCGGUGAAGCGUCCGACUUGGGCUCGGGUCAUGAUCUUGUGGUUUGUGGGUUCGAGCCCCGCAUCAGGCU
rnacentral:tRNA from 1 species